CAGUAGCCGCGGUAAUACAGAGGGUGCGAGCGUUAAUCGGAUUUACUGGGCGUAAAGCGUGCGUAGGCGGCUAAUUGAGUCGGAUGUGAAAUCCCCGAGCUUAACUUGGGAAUUGCAUUCGAUACUGGUUAGCUAGAGUGUGGGAGAGGAUGGUAGAAUUCCAGGUGUAGCGGUGAAAUGCGUAGAGAUCUGGAGGAAUACCGAUGGCGAAGGCAGCCAUCUGGCCUAAUACUGACGCUGAGGUACGAAAGCAUGGGGAGCAAACAGGAUUAGAUACCCGCGUAGUCCCUGUCUCUUAUAC
rnacentral:rRNA from 1 species